rnacentral:rRNA from 1 species
AAUGAACGUUGGCGGCAUGGAUUAGGCAUGCAAGUCGAGCGAGAAGAGUUUUGAAGCUUGCUUUAGAACUCGGACAGCGGCGAAAGGGAGAGUAACGCGUAGUUAUGUGCCCUAGGGUCCGGAAUAGCCACGGGAAACUGUGGGUAAUGCCGGAUAAUAUCCCCGGAUCAAAGGUGUGAUUCCGCCCUAGGAGCAGACUGCGUCCUACUAGCUAGUUGGUGGGGUAAUGGCCCACCAAGGCAAUGAUGGGUAGCGGGUGUGAGAGCAUGACCCAGCUCGCUGGGACUGAAGCACUGCCCAGACACCUACGGGUGGCUGCAGUCGAGACUGUUCGGCAAUGGGCGACAGCCUGACCGAGCGAUGCCGCGUGCGGGAUGAAGGCCCUCGGGUUGUAAACCGCUGUCGUAAGGGAGGAAGGUUCCGUGAAGAGCGGGACUUGACCUAUCCUAGGAGGAAGUACGGGCUAAGUUCGUGCCAGCCGCCGCGGUAACAC